UUCAUUUUUUCACCCGGUCAAAGCGCGCGCUCGGAAGUCAGCUCCGCGUUUCAAUCCGUGAAAAUCGGGAAAAUAGUGAAAAAUCCAUCGGGAAAAAUGUGGUGCAUGUGUGUGAAGUGUAGUUUAGUGUAGUGGUGUAGUAAUCAGAGUUGUAGCGGAAUGCUGUGAAGAAGAAGAAGAAUCAAAAGUAAAUGAGGGCUUUCGUUCCAAGCAGAAGUUUUGAGCUCCCAGCGCCCAUGCCGACGGAAAAACAGUAUCAUAGAAAAGAUCGUGAAAAAUAUCCGAAAAUGUUCCGGAAAUUAUAUAAAAACCCCUGUGUUAAGUGUAGCAAGGGCUUAUAAUGAAAAUGUGCCAGAAAAGUCUGGAAAGGUGGUGAAAAGUGUUGUGAGAAGCCAAAAAGUGAUGAAUAGUGGUCGAAAUGGCAGGAAAAUUCAAGGCCACGAGUGUGGAGAGCCAAGGGAUUGGGAAAUGGAGUUGGAAAACAUUUGAGCGUAAAUCCCGGCACUAUGGAAUGAUGUCGCCUUUGAGCUUGAGUUUUUUUCCGCUUCUCUUUCUGCGAGAGUUUGAGUGAAGCGGAAUGGUCAGCAGUUUGUCGAUUAAAACGAAAGAUCUACCACAAAAAUACAUGAAGGUGAAUAUUUAUUGGAAACACUGCAUUGGUUACUCUCUACGUUGGAUAAAGACGUUUCAAACCGGCCUACAAAAACACUGAGGACUGGGCGUGGUAAGUACAACAAUACUGAUUCCCAAAGUUUUAAAAGGGGCUCUGAGACAAUCU
rnacentral:sRNA from 1 species